UCCUGGUCAGCUAAGUUGGCAGAGCGCUCCACCGGAAAUGGAGAGGUACCUGGUUCGAUACCAGGACCACGCG
rfam:Ixodes scapularis strain Wikel colony gcontig_1107728595234, whole genome shotgun sequence.